GCACGAUUCACAGGGCUCAGGUACCUGAUGUAUUACUUCCCCGUGACGUGCGCACUUGUCGGAGUUGUGAGUAACUUCUCGUUCCUGCUCGUGGCCGCGCUGCUCUCCUACCUCCAGUGGGGGGGGGGCAGGCCCCCUGACAACAUCCGCGUGCAGGUGGACUUCAGGGAGGGAGUGACCCCC